GAGUACUUCGUUCUGAUACCAGAUUAGCCCCAGCCUCUAAACUUCAUAUGGUAACCUACAUACUUUGUGAAUAAGCCCCACGUACUCCAAAAUACCAUUAAACAUGGUAACUCUUCCACAAAAAACACUGGGGUGAGAUAACCUCACAGGUCAACUCAAGACAAUAACCCUGUCCACAACACCAAUGACUUACUUUGCAACAGCUAGGUAACUAGGCCACAGAGACGGCUCAUUAAAGUGACCAAGAAGGUGCCAGCAGUCGCGGUUAAACCUUCGCUUUUCGCUAAUCCGCUCAACCUCGAGCGAUAACACGACUAUGACUAAAAACCUUUCCCCAGAGGUAAAAUCCAAAGCUUCAAGAAAUACCCAACCAAGUCAUCCAUCAAUACCCUCAACAAACCAUAACACAAAACAGGGAUUAGAUACCCCACUAUUGCAUGGCCCAACACAACAAACACUAAAAACGAAAGUUUAAAACUUAAAGAAUCGUGGCGGUGUUCUAUUACAUAUUAGGGGAUCCUGUGGCUUAAUCCGAUAAUCCACGCAAAUCAAAGCCUUAUUAGCUCUCAGCUUGUGUAUGGCCGUUUACGCUCGCUCACCCUAAAGACACAAAAGGAAGCAAAUCAAUGAGCCCACAGCCCCAUAAUUCAGGUGACAUACAGCCAAUAUAAAGCGGACCAUGGGAUACAAAUAAACACCAUUACCCCGGAGUAAAGAGAAACCUUUACUUUAAGGAGGACUUAAAAGUAAGGCCACCAACAAAAAUCUGACCUGAACAAGAUCUAGAACACGCACAAAUCGCCCGUCACUCCCGCACUCCCAAAGUGGGAUAAGUCGUAACACAGUAGGGGUAAUGGAAAUUGCCCCUAUUA
rnacentral:rRNA from 1 species